UUCUUGAAUUUUUUGCUUUUACUUACAAGCAUAAUGCAAUUUUCUGUUGCCUUCAGCAGUGCAACUUUUAAAUAAUCCAAUUUCUCUUGGACUCCACAUAAAUUGCUCCAGUCUGAUAAUGACUCCUUUACACAUAUUCUAUUUUAUAGAAAAGUCUAAUGAGUUGGCCCUAGCUAUAUUAUGAACUGAGUGUUGUACAUAGCUCUGUUACCUCAGUGCAUGACUCACAGCCAUGUUGUCU